rnacentral:rRNA from 1 species
GCUCGUGUCGUGAGAUGUUGGGUUAAGUCCCGCAACGAGCGCAACCCUUGUCUUUAGUUGCCAUCAUUAAGUUGGGCACUCUAGAGAGACUGCCAGGGAUAACCUGGAGGAAGGUGGGGAUGACGUCAAAUCAUCAUGCCCCUUAUGCUUAGGGCUACACACGUGCUACAAUGGGUAGUACAGAGGGUUGCCAAGCCGUAAGGUGGAGCUAAUCCCUUAAAGCUACUCUCAGUUCGGAUUGUAGGCUGAAACUCGCCUACAUGAAGCUGGAGUUACUAGUAAUCGCAGAUCAGAAUGCUGCGGUGAAUGCGUUCCCGGGUCUUGUACACACCGCCCGUCACACCACGGGAGUUGGAGACGCCCGAAGCCGAUUAUCUAACCUUUUGGAAGAAGUCGUCGAAGGUGGAAUCAAUAACUGGGGUGAAGUCGUAACAAGGUAGCCGUAUCGGAAGGUGCGGCUGGAUCACCUCCUUUCUAAGGA